GGGGGAGAUGGGAGGGAUAGAGGAAAAGAGAAUAGUUCAAAAUUUGCAACCACAGAAACCACUCAAAGCAGUUUUAAUUUAUUUUUAAAUGCUUGCUUGCAAAGAUUUCCCUUCCCAGUGUAGUGGUGGAGAGUAAUUUCUCCCCACGCAGCUCUGCCUGUGUCACUGGAAAGCUCCUCAGGGAUUCACCAGUGGUCAGAACUGUUAAAACCUGCCUGAUUAGCACUGGGAGACCUCAGCAACAAGCCUGCUGUUGCCUUGUAGAGCAGAACGGGACUAUAUUUCCUUCUAGGGAUUUCAAAAUCUGCCUCGAAGAACCAGGGUGCUCUAUUGUUUCUAUUUUUGCCUUAAAAACACAUCUGUCCCAGAGGCGGACACCUGGGGCAGGAAGAGCUGCCGGGUGCAUGGCCCUCAGAGUUGAGUAAAUAUCCUUUAGCUAAUUUUGAAAUGUAGAUGCUAUAUUUCAGGAUUUUUGUUUUGUUUUGUUUUGUUGUUGUUUUGAGAAAAUGGAUAAGUGAAGGAAUAGGUGUAAGGAAAGAUGAAGCUUUUGGAGGACUUAACAAGGUAUUUGGAACUUGUGCUUUUUAAAGACAUCUGAGAUUAUUUAGAUUUCAGUUGAAAUACUGAUGCUUAACAUCCAAGAAGACAAAGGUUGUAUCCACUGAGCGCAGGACCCUGUAUGGGAACCAAUCAUGCCACUAUUCAGAUGAUUUUGGAAUGCUCUUUGGAUUUUGGAUGCUCUUGGAAAAACUAUAUUCAGAACAAACCCACCCCGUCCCCUCACUCUGUCUCCCAAGACAGAUCAUUUAAGGGGAGGAGGUCCCCUAAAACAUGCAGGCCACUAGGCUCCUUCCUGAAUUUCAGGGAUGCUCCCUCCUCUUUUUUCUUGUUCAUGUGCACAUGUGGUAAAGGACAAGCUCCAUCUGAGGACUGUAUAAAGCAAAGGUGGGAAAACUCUCUGAAAAAGCCUUGGGAAUGGUGGACCUGGUGGGGUCUUUUUUAGGGUGCACCCACCGCUGCUCAGCAUUGUGACCUCGAGGCUGGUGUCCCUUUGGUUCAUCCACAUGCCUGAUUAUCGCAACCUUUGACAUCUGGCACUGCAUAGCCCCACGGUGUUUUCCCGGCAGCAUAAAGUGGGUGACUCAAGAGGCUUCUGUCUUAAGGACAGGAGGGGUGCAGGCUAACAUCCUCCCUGUGAUUAGGCAAAAAGGUAGAAUAAAAAGUUAAACACGUAUGCGGGUGUGUUUAUGUGCAUGGUACAGGAAAAACUAAGUUGGAAAUAAACCUUCUUCCUGAAACACACACGUGCUUGUUGCUAUUCUUACAUGCCAUUCAGGAGCCCUAGUUUGAAUACAUCCUGAUAGGACCUGGGAUUUUAUCGCCAAACAGCUUUUGGAGAAUAUGGAUGUGAUCAUUAGCUCAUUUUAUUCCAACCCUCUUUCCCACAGAUAUUCCCGUGAAAACUAAGAGAACAGAGGUGAGAUUUGACCCCAAAAAAGUACUACAUUCAAAAUAAUGCAGUUUUUAAAAGCAAAUAUAGGACAGCCUUUUCCUAUUAUUUUUCUCCUUAGCUUCUCCAUUGUCUGAAUCAGGAAAACAGGAAAGCAUGGCUUUCUAGCAGCUGCAAAAUGGUGUAAUGUCCCCUCCAUAUUUCCAUCACCUUAAACAAUAGAUUUAGCAUGGGAAUCUGAGAUAUGAUCCCUGAAAACAUCUGUUCCUGUCUGGCUGCAAAAGCUACUGCUUAUGUCUGUAGGGUUUGCGGCGUUUGUCAACCAAAAAAAAAAAAAAAAAA